UCAGUCCCUCCAGAAAAACGCGAUUAUGCGAUCGCAUGAUUUAGUGCAUAAUCAGCCAAAGUCUGAAAUAAAACAAGAUGAGAACUUAAAUAUUCCCAGCACUUUCUGUGAUGUAGUAUGCUUGCUUAUCAUAGGAAGUAAUAAGAAAUGACUCUUUACAUUAAGGUAGUAGCCUAGUGAGAACAGGGUGUUGGGGGAAUCACUUUUUUUUCUCUUUUUCAUCAAACCGCAGUUUUUGCAAGUUCCCGCAAUUUCAUCGCAUAAAAUUGCAUAAAUAUCCCGCAUAUUCCAUCGCAUUUUUAAAGAAAACGGGCCGCAUAAUCAAGGAUUUUUGCCCGCAACAA